rnacentral:lncRNA from 1 species
CCUUGGCCUCCCCAAGUGCUGGGAUUACAGGUGUGAGCCACCACACAUGGCCUAAAUAGCUUUGUUUUUAAAUCACCGACAGCCCUUUUUUAGCAUCUGCUGCCACUGGGCUACUUAGUACUUUCCCGGGUAGAAGUGACUGUGCCACCAAUUUUCUGUGUGGCCUUCACUAAAUCAUUCUCGGUCUUUCUUUCAUAUCUUUGCAGUAUAGUAGGAUUAUUUUUAAAUAGUCCCCUUUAAAUAUUUUUAAAAUGUGCCCAUGCUAAUAAAUUCAUUCUUUAGUCUUUCAAGAUUGUACAUUUGAACAUCUGAAUAUCACUAAUAUUACUCAUCUGUUAUGCUGUUCCAUCUCUUGAGAUACUGUAUCACUAAAUGUGAUACAAUUUAGAAACAUUAUAUCAUAUGGUGAACAACACUAUAAAGACGACUUUUCAAAUUUCUAUUAACAUAGGCCUAUAACUGAAGAACUAAACAUUUUUGAAUAAAUAAUGUUGCCAAUAACAUUUUCUACAUAUUUUGGUCUUGCAAUCAAUGUGAGGAAUGCACAGUUGGAUCUGGAUACUCAGAGCAAUUUAUUUCCUCUUACAAGUCUACCAUUGAUAGUUUAAAUGCUAAUGGCCAAGAUAUACAAGCCAAAGGGUCCGUGGUGUGAAUGCAGGGCUUGCCUGAUCACCAGACUCCCUUCCCAACCUCUCCUCUGAAGAAGGAGAAAGUUCUUGAAAAAGCUCAAAAAUGCGUUUUGGCAAGCACAAGAGAUGCAGCCUAGCAGCAUGAAUUAAGAGACUUGUGACCGUGGAAAAGAACUGUAAAUUUUAAAUGGCUUUGGCCCUUCUUAGCUUUUGACCAGCUGACCUUGACAUUCCUUAGAGGCCAAAGGAUAAGAUGCAGUGAAGACAGUGCUGCCUAGCCAUUUCCCCUCAGGGGGCAGCACCAGUCCUUCCAGCAGUGGAUGAAGUCUAUCCAGUGUGUCUUGGGGAGAACUGUAAUAAAUGAGGCUCCCUCCCUGAGAAAUGACUAAAACCACGAAAAUAAAUUCUUAGAUGAAACAGUUCAAUUAUCUAAUGUAAUUACUCCUAAGGAAAAAAUGAGAGAAAUUUAUCAUAGCUACAUGAAGUUUCCAAUGUGGUUAUAUAUGACUGUGUAUAGUCAACAGUUAUUCAUCUGGCGUUCUGUCAAACAGAGUUUUCUAUAAUAUGGUAUCUGUGACUGUUUCCAAUACAAUAAAAAUGCUGCAAAAUCUUGAAAUGCUUUUCAAAAGAAGAAUACUUUAUAGUAUAGUGUGUACAGCUGUAGUAUUGAGCUUAUUUUGCUGUACUUUAUUAAUCUUUUCCAAAACAUGUAAAUAAUGAAGUUUGUUGCACACCACAUCUGGAUUUCAUGAUUAUACUGUAAGACUUAUAUAGUAGAUGGCCCUUCAUUUAGGGAAGUAGUAUAUACACCAGAAUAUGCCUUUUCUUUUUAAGAUUUAAACAACGGAAAAAGCCACUGAAGUAUGUAUAGUAUCUGUGCGCCGAGAUACACAGGAAAGCAUGGAACAUGUGGAUGGAAGGAACCGGGAUCAUCUCAUCCAGCUGAGUAAUAAGUACGUUUGGUGCAGUGCCACACAGGAGGCCACCAACAGAGCCCAGAGUAGUAACUAGGUUGCUUCACUCUUAGCCUCUCAAGUGAUGACACCAAGGCAUGAUCUUAUCUCUUGAUUGUGGCCACCCGUAAAGAAAAGCGUAUCUCUAAUCUCAGAAGCACAAGGAGUUCAUACCAGGAAACCAAGAUUAGAACAUCAUGCUAUCGUCUUUCAAAAUUACUAUGUAGGAUCAGUGGAACACUAGACACUGACAGAGUGGGCCCUGCAUCCUUCACUGCUUCCUCAUGGAGGGAUUUCCAGGACAGGGGCCCUCUUUGCCUGUCUCCGCCCUUGGUGGCGAAUAUGGGUGGGGGAUGGAUCUGGGCAUGCUCACAUCAGCCCCUCCCUUGCUCUUCUCUCUUUGGAUCUUGCUUGCAGUGAGAGGGCUUUUUCUUCCUGUUUUUUGGAGGGUGAGAUCUGCGCGGAGCUGUUCAAUGCUGCCUGGACUGGGUAUUAGUAUGCUUAGCUCAAGGUGAAGUAUAAGCCAACUCAUGAGGCCCAGCAGUGCAUCCCCUUUCUUCUCUGAGUUCUCCCCAGUACAAAUCUGGUGCUUGGAUCUCUUUCUGACUCCUCAGUUUAUCUGUCAAAUGGUUCCAAACUUGAGUAGGGUGAGAGGAUCAUCCCCCGUCAAAUGUACAUUAUUCAUACACUGUAAUGGCGUAAAAGAACCCUAGACA